rnacentral:tRNA from 1 species
GCUCUUGUAGCUCAGUUGGUUAGAGCACCCGUUUAGUAAGCUGGGGGUCUUGAGUUAAACUCUAACAAGAGCA